UAGCUCAGUUGGUAGAGCAUGGUGUUUGCAACACCAGGGUUGUGGGCUCGAUUCCCAC
rnacentral:tRNA from 1 species